CUAGUAAGAAUUGAUCCAUUUCAUGCUUGUGCCAAUUUUUCUUUUUUUGGGUUUAAGGGGUGAUUUUAUUUUGAAGGUCGAGAUUGCUCUUUCAAUCUUUUGCAUAGUUCGCUAGGUUUGGUUGAAUCAUUAAUCAGGUCAUCAGGUUGUUUUCCUUUGCUCUUGUUGAACUGCACCAUCAAUGGGCAUCUUUGUAGUUUUCUACUUGGACAAUUGGUUGGGAAAAACUGCAGCAAUUACAGAUUGGCUUUGAUGGCUAUGUUGCUCGCAAGAUGAGAUCUUGCAAUAUAUUCCUUUCUCUAAAGGCCAUAAUUUCAGUUAGUCGAAGAUCGUUUCAUCUUCAAAUCCAUCUGCGCAGUUCCCUACAUAUGCCACUGCUCAUAUAGCUGCAAUGCAUGACCUGCUGUUAUGGUGGCCAAGUUGAUGACAGCGUUGGCAUUGCAUUGGUCUGGCCUCUUCACCAAAAGACCUGAUCCUCCUUGUUUUUGGUCUUCCGAGAGGUUUUCGAGUAAUGGGAGGUUGCAAAGUAGAAUCACCAAAACUGUUAGGAUUAGGCUUAUCACGAUCCGGGAUUGGAAUAAUAGCUUGGUCUGUGCCAUAAGUAAACCAUAAGUAAAUCUUCCAUAUAUAGGCUUUGUCAUACUACAUAACACGAUUAGAAAAUCUGUUAAUAAAGCUACCAAUAUAUUGUAUCUGCUACUGUGUUAAUACAUAACAUAAGCGCAAAAACCCAAAACCUGCUACUGUUAUGCUACAAUUUAUCCACAAUACAAAAACUGAAACAUAUCUGUUAUGUUUGGACUAAGUUAUUAUUAUAAAAGAUUUAU